rnacentral:misc_RNA from 1 species
UUUCCGUAGGUGAACCUGCGGAGGGAUCAUUAACGAGUAAAGUCCUUCGGAACUUUCUUAUCCAAACACCGGUGAAAAAUAAUUUUUGCUUUGGGAAUUUAAUUAUUCCCAACAAUCAAAACCACUAAGUCGUCUUUUGUCUGAAUAAUUAUUUAAAAAUCAAAACUUUCAACAACGGAUCUCUUGGUUCUC